UACAGGGGGGGCAAGCGUUGUUCGGAAUUACUGGGCGUAAAGGGCUUGUAGGUGGCCAACUAAGUCAAACGUGAAAUCCCUCAGCUUAACUGGGGAACUGCGUCUGAUACUGGAUGGCUUGAGUUUGGGAGAGGGAUGCGGAAUUCCAGGUGUAGCGGUGAAAUCCGUAGAUAUCUGGAGGAACACCGGUGGCGAAGGCGACAUCCUGGACCGGUAUUGACGCUGAGGCGCGAAAGCCAGGGGAGCAAACGGG
rnacentral:rRNA from 1 species